rnacentral:rRNA from 1 species
AUUGAACGCUGGCGGCAUGCUUUACACAUGCAAGUCGAACGGUAACAGGCCGCAAGGUGCUGACGAGUGGCGAACGGGUGAGUAACGCAUCGGAACGUGCCCAGUCGUGGGGGAUAACGCAGCGAAAGCUGUGCUAAUACCGCAUACGAUCUGUGGAUGAAAGCGGGGGACCGUAAGGCCUCGCGCGAUUGGAGCGGCCGAUGUCAGAUUAGGUAGUUGGUGGGGUAAAGGCUCACCAAGCCGACGACCUGUAGCUGGUCUGAGAGGACGACCAGCCACACUGGGACUGAGACGCGGCCCAGACUCCUACGGGAGGCAGCAGUGGGGAAUUUUGGACAAUGGGCGCAAGCCUGAUCCAGCAAUGCCGCGUGCAGGAAGAAGGCCUUCGGGUUGUAAACUGCUUUUGUACGGAGCGAAAAGGCUCCCUCUAAUACAGGGGGCUCAUGACGGUACCGUAAGAAUAAGCACCGGCUAACUACGUGCCAGCAGCCGCGGUAA